rnacentral:rRNA from 1 species
UACGUAGGUGGCAAGCGUUGUCCGGAAUUAUUGGGCGUAAAGCGCGCGCAGGCGGUCCUUUAAGUCUGAUGUGAAAGCCCACGGCUCAACCGUGGAGGGUCAUUGGAAACUGGGGGGACUUGAGUACAGAAGAGAAGAGUGGAAUUCCACGUGUAGCGGUGAAAUGCGUAGAGAUGUGGAGGAACACCAGUGGCGAAGGCGGCCCCCCUGGGCCGUACCUGACGCUGAGGAGCGAAAGCGUGGGGAGCGAACAGG